rnacentral:rRNA from 1 species
GACAAACGCUGGCGGCGUGCCUAACACAUGCAAGUCGAGCGCGAAAGGGACUUCGGUCCCGAGUAAAGCGGCGAACGGGUGAGUAGCACGUGGGCAACCUGCCUCAAGGACUGGGAUAACGUCGGGAAACCGACGCUAAUACCGGGCGAUGUCGUCUGGCGCAAGCCGGCCGACCAAAUGGUAGCUUCGGCCUCCGCCUUGAGAUGGGCCCGCGUCCUAUCAGCUUGUUGGUGAGGUAAUGGCUCACCAAGGCUACGACGGGUAGCUGGUCUGAGAGGAGGAUCAGCCACGCUGGGACUGAGAUACGGCCCAGACUCCUACGGGAGGCAGCAGUGGGGAAGUUUGCGCAAUGCGCGAAAGCGUGACGCAGCAACGCCGCGUGAGGGAAGAAGGCCUUCGGGUUGUAAACCUCUUUCAGGAGGGACGAAGGUUCAGGCGCGAAUAGCGUCCUGGACUGACGGUACCUCCAGAAGAAGCCCCGGCUAACUACGUGCCAGCCGCCGCGGUAAGAC